rnacentral:lncRNA from 1 species
AGAGGCCAACAGAUGAGGGGAGCCAUUUUUCUGCAAUGGAAUUAAAUGGCCAAGUGGGUUUUUCCUUUGUUGCAAAUGGGGAAUGCUUUUCCUUUGACUCCACCAUCCAGUUCAGGACGCCUGAAUGUGUUUAACAUUUGCCAAAGGACUCACACUUGGAAGAAUGAAGAAGACCUUUUAAAAAGAUCUGGAUCUUUCCUUAUGACUUGGAAUCCAUCUUUGUCUUGUAUAACUAGGUCAUAGCACACUAUUAAUGUCAGCAGUUAACAGUUUUGAAUUCAAAAAAACCUAAGUAAAUGACAUAUUUAAUUUUUUUCCUCUUUUUUUCUUGGGUGGGUGGAGGGGAGAGCUUGGAGCUGUCUUAAUCUGUAUUCUCUUGACUGAACAAUAAAUUUUUAAAUAUAGUUUCCUCUAUUAAACACUUAAGCCUGACCAUCUUAUUAACUCUUUUUUAACAAGGUAAUGUUUUAAAUGUAUAGUUGUAGCGAAAUGGCAACAAUAACAAAAAUCUGUGAGCUGUUGUUACUGUUAAGUUUUCUAAAAACCUUUUACAUUGUAAGUACCCAAUCCAUUCUGUCCUUACUGCACUUGAGUUUUCGUGUUACUGUCGCCUGAGAUGAACUGAAUUUUCGGAACCUUCAUCUGCAUGUGUUGUCUUUGUCUCUGUCUGAUGUAAGUCAGUUAAAAUGCUUUUAGACCUUUGCUUCUAUAAAAAUACGAUUUUUUUAGCUUCAAGCUUUUUGGGGGAAAAAAUGUUUACAGCAAUAGUUGCUAUUCAGAUUUCUUCCCAGUAGCUCUUAACACUUUCUUUGAAAAUCGAUCUAUUUGAAGAAAAACAGCUGUUUUUCUCGACUUGGGUGUGGGGUGGUGGAGGGUGAAAGAAAGGAAGACCUUUUGUAUAAAAAAACUGAAAGCCGUCACUGAAAAUUAGAUUAAAACUGGACAAAAAGCCCUAGCCGGUUCAAGCCAAACACCUACGUUAACUCGGUGGUAUUUUCUCUGUCGGUUGGGAUGGCUGGUGAGCUAUUUUGCCUUUUGUUUGAUUUGACUGUGUUUUUGCCUUUUGUUUCUUAAUGAUGAUCACACCAUUGGUAAAUCCAGAGCAGUAAACAGUCCUCAGCGAAGCCGCCUUUUUGCCAGCCCAACCCUGGAAAGUUUGCAGUCGUGGAAGGAGCAGAAAUACCAUGAGUGUAACUUACAAAAAGGUAACAACAAAAGGACACCAUAACCCCAGAUUUUUACCUCAACUAAACAACCAAACAAUACCCCCUCAAAAAAAAAAAAAAAAA